UGUUCUCCUGCGGCGCAGCUGCGUCCCGGACUGCACAACUCAUCUUUAGAAGCCCUAUUCGGCGCUGAAUGUUGGGCACUGGAUGCAACUUAACCAGCGGGGGGAGGGACCCCCAACACGUCAGCACCACACCGACGGGGAAGGGUGGAGGCCCACGGACACCAUGACGGGAACUCCGGAAGGUCAUUACGUGGGAUGGGCUGACAUUGGACUUACACCCGAACCAGCAUUAACUUCACAUCCAGCAGGUAUACAGAAUAACGAUGGUUUCACUGGGAACGAUUUCGGGGUCGGGGCCGCGGGUCCCCCUCGUCCACUUCCAGGGCCUCGGAGCCCUCCGCCCCCCCCAUGCGGUUUCUCACAGGGCCUCCCCGUGCCGUCCAAUACCCGCUCCACUCACAGCCCGACAUGACAGCACGUCUGAUGUCGUCAUGGCCGCAGCAGACAAUCCGCUGGUGUGUCUGCUGCUCGACAGUCUGACAGCUUCUCCCCUCUCGUCUCCACGGCGAUCACGGAGGCGAGCGGUGCUGAGGCGCGACGGGACGCCCCCCCCCCCCCGGCAGGACCAGCAAAAGGAAGGGCCCUCUGAAGCCCGGCCACGGUGCGGUGGUUUGUCUGAACGCGGAACCUGCUGGGAAAACUAACGCACCUGAACAAUCCGGAUGAGUGCACCGUUCUGACUGCAGAGGGAGGUGAUUCACACCUGUAGCCUGAUAACUGGACCAAAAUCUACUUUGUUUCACUGCAUUAUUCAGUCAGUCACCUUGCCGUCAUAACCGC
ensembl:lncRNA